AACGAACGCUGGCGGCAGGCUUAACACAUGCAAGUCGAGCGCAUCCUUCGGGCUGAGCGGCAGACGGGGGAGUGACGAGGGGGAAGCUACCUUUUGCUACGCAAUAGCUCCGGGAAACUGGAAUUAAUACCGUAUGUGCCAUUAGGGGGAAAGAUUUAUCGGCAAGGGAUGAGCCUGCGUUGGAUUAGCUAGUUGGUGGGGUAAAGGCCUAUCAAGGCGACGAUGCAUAGCUGGUCUGAGAGGAUGAUCAGCCACAUUGGGACUGAGACACGGCCCAAACUCCUACGGAAGGGAGGAGUGGGGAAUAUAGGACAGUGGGGGCAAGCCUGAUCCAGCCAUGCCGCGUGAGUGAUGAAGGCCUUAGGGUUGUGAAGCUCUUUCACCGGAGAAGAUAAUGACGGUAUCCGGAGAAGAAGCCCCGGCUAACUUCGUG
rnacentral:rRNA from 1 species